AAAAAUCCCUUGCAAUGAACGAAAAAAAGGAUUGGAGGGUUUCAUUUAAAUUUGUUAUCGGAUUACCCUGACUGUCAUUCAGGACAAAAGCGACAGUCUAAACGGAAACAACCGGCGUUACGAAGAAUCUACUGAGCGGCCGGUCAGUAAAGUGUUGAAAGUAUUAUCCGCAAAAGGUAUUUGAACACAAUUUUGGAUAGCAACUUAUAAUUUGCAAUUUUCUAAAUUCGGAUUGCCCAUAUUCGAAUUUUAAUUCCAAAAUAUUCAUCAUCAAACCUAACAAAAGUGUGUGCAUUCAGCCAGUGCAAUAAUGACACGUAAUAUAUUCCAUUUACCGUUUCUUCUUUUUUCCAGUAAUCAGUGAAGAUAAUUCCAAGCAUCCUAAGAAACCAUUGCCACUUCAUGAUGGUUCGAUUUUGCCGCUUCUACUUCUGUAGUAUACCCAGAUGCUCUCCUUAUUGUCCGAAUUCUCUAAAAAAAAUCUAGCGGGAGUAUUAAUCAAAUCUUAUUAUCUAAUUCAAAUUCGAAAUACUUAACCAACAUGACGAUGUUCCAUUUCUACUUUUCUUAAGCAAUACAGUUUUAUUUUAUUUAGAUAUUACUAUACGCCGGAAUUACCCUUCAUGCAGAAAGUUUCGCCGUAAAGCGGUUUCGGCGUGCAGCAAGCUUUGUGGGAUAUGUACUUUUCAGCCUAAAUAUUUCGUCUUUGGUGAGAAAAGUACCCAUGUUUCUAAGAAUAUGGAAAUGUAUUGAAUAUCACGAUAUCGGGGUGAUGACAUGCAGCACUUCAAAUUAUGUGGGUCCAAAAACUUUAUAUUCCAGUCGUAGCUUGAAAUGCGUUUUGAGUUUCAAUCUGAUUUCGAAUUUCCCGUUAUCCUUCUAUCUAGUUGAAUUCUCAAAUAUUUCUUCUAGUUUAUUCUAGUGCUGGAUGAAUAUACAUAAAAUUGAGUUCGAUAGAAAGGCAUGACCGUUUGUUAGGCGUGAAAGUAAGAUAAUAAGCUAGGCACCUUCUGAUAGACCAGCUACAGUCUGGAAAUCACAUUGGAGAGACACGAUGGAUUGGUCUGUUAAGUGUGUUCACUGUUUUCCAUAGAGUUUAGUUUGGAGUCACAUUUUGAUCUACAUUUUCUGAAAAACAAUCAAGAUCCUCGUCCGUCUGCUUCGAAGCUUUUCGUAGAUCCCUUAAAUGUGCCUUCCACUGGUUUUCAGAGACGAUGACGAUACAAAAAAUUCACGGCUUGCUUUGGUACAUUUCCAGGACUGUGAAACUAUGCACAUCCAUUAAUGUUGUCUGGCGUCCUGACCUACGCCAUCGUUCCAUCUGAGACAGAGUCUGGCACGUGUUCUUUUUUUUACCAUAGAUAUUGACCUUAUGGACUUUCUGGGCAGAAUCAUCCACACCCAUACGGGUUGGUGACCUGCCCACCGCAACCUGUUGAGCCGAAUUUUAUCCACAAUAAAAUGGUCGUGAUAUGGGGGUAGCAGAGGCUGCGGAAUGGUCCAUCCUCAUAAAGGAGGCCAAACAUUCUUCGAAAGAUUCUUCUCUCGAAUGCGGCCAAGAAUUGGUGUAAGGACUGGCAAGAUCAUAGUUUUGUACAGUAAAAACUUUGUCGCUAUGGCACAGUAAAUCUAAUAGGCAGUACCCAUACUCAAUGAACCGGACUUGUAUUGGAAAAGGUUAUUCGUACACAUCAAAGGCCCCCAACAUCUGGCAGUAUCUACCUAUGUAUUAGUGCCUAUGAUGUGUACGGAUAAGCUUCACCAAUACAUUCGGAAGUUCGGUCCAUUGAGUGUGGAUACUUCUUAUUAGAUGUACCGUGGCUAUGGUGCGACAUUUCAACAGUUCUAGUAAGCUGAAAUAGGCUCUGUUGACAGCCAACAACCGUACGCGGAUUUCAUCAAAUUCAAUGGUUAAAUUUAAGGAAAGUGUGACGAUUGCUGGGCACUCCUCGUAUUUAAGUUGGAAGAGCAAUGCAAUUUUUUAGAAUAAAUAUUUUAUCGGAAUGAUAGAAAAGCAAGGAGAGAACGGUCGGCAGAAAAUUUUAAAAGCAGUUUCUCAAAAACAGUAAUUUUUCGAUUUAGGCUGAAUGAUUGAAAAGAUGAUUUUUAAUAUUACUUUUAUUCGGGUUUGAUGGCUGGGAAUCAAAAUUUCAAUUUGCUCCCCGUUUUCUUUAGAGAAAUUACUUUUCUAAGUUUCGUCAUUAUAUUGAAAAAAAACUACUUCUAUUGGGAAGAUUUGAGAAUGAUAGCAAAAUUUCAAACCCAUCAACCAAAGUAGGUCUGUAGCUUUAAAUGGCUUCGAAAAUGAGACCACGUAGACCAUUUGGUGAGAGAUGACGAUUACUAUGAAGAAAUAUUUUUCAGAAUUAUGGGGGAUAUACCUUGAAUUUUCUGAAAACUUAUUGCUAGGUCCAUGUAAAAACAAACUAUUAGCCGGAAGUCUGUUUUUCUUAACGCGCUUAACCAAAACAGGGAACUAAAAAUUAGUUCUUAGUUCUAAAUCAUACAAUUAAAAAUAAAACCAAUUUCGGUGUUUUCCCUUAAAUCUGUUAAAUUUAAGGAAAACGGAUAUGAAUGCCAUUAAAUAUGUUUUAAUUGCAUCCCUAAUCUUUGGAUCGAAGCUCCUUGAUUUCGCCCCUCUAUUCGUGUUCAACCUAGUUUUUUAUUUUAAUUUAUUUUUUUUCCCCCAAUACAAAAGCUUCUCCUCUUUGUUUUGUUAUUUCGCGUUAAAACUCCAUGAAUGCUUGUGCUAUGCUUCUGUACUGCUACUGAAUCUGAUGAAAACUGGAAUCAGCAAAUAUAUUAUAGCCCUUCCUCACCAAUUAUUUGCAAGCUUUGAAUAAUAAUAUUUUGUGGGUAUAAUUUGCCGGAAACACAUCUUGCUGUUGAAGUCUAAUUCAAAUCAAAACGAAAUUUUAGGCCUUUUGUCAUAGAUGAGAUUAUAUUUGUUCAAAACAAUUUGUCAUAGUAUUGCAUAGUUUAACAUAUGUGGUUAUUGUGGUUAUAUAUGUAUAUAUAAUGCACUAGUAUCUGUAACAGUUGUAAAAUAAAUUCAUUGAAAUACGUGAUUUUGCUGCUUAAAUCUAUUGAUCAAAGUAAAGUUUAACUUAUUUUAAGUACAGCAGAUUCGAGAUAUGUUUCGAGUUUUAAUCCAUAAUGAUAAUUUCUAUCAAGAAAAAACAAAAUUCAGAAUGAAUCAGGCUUAGCUUAAGCAUUUAAUUUAGACUCUCGAAAUCUAAAUGUAAAUGUCUAUUAAGGACACUUCUUAAAAAUUGGUAAAAGAUAGUAAAACUAACAAAAGGUUCAGGGGAAGACAACACUUUCACUAAUAACUUCGCAAACUUCUGCGAAAAACUAAUAGAAAUAAAACACCGAGCUAACAAAUUUCCACGUACUAUUCACCAACACACAAGACAACUUGCGCGUUGUGCAGACAGAACGAGAACUUUUUCCGAAAAUCUACAAUUAAAUCAUCUGCAGCGCUAUCACAGCAAAUUCAAGUUUUUAUUCUCUAUCACUAAAAUACUCAGAGAAAGUUAAAUAUAGUGGUCCCGCUGUUCACAUCCUAUUUUUUAAAGAUAGGUCUCGCGAAUGAAACGAGAGUCGGGCCAGCCAAUACCUCAAAAAUUAUAUUGCACACCAGUCGAAAUGGAAGUAAAUUUGUCAUAAUAUUUUAAAUUAAAUUUAAAUGUCAAAUACAUGUUUGAAAAGUU